GAUGAAGAACGCAGCGAAAUGCGAUAAGUAAUGUGAAUUGCAGAAUUCAGUGAAUCAUCGAAUCUUUGAACGCACAUUGCGCCCAUUAGUAUUCUAGUGGGCAUGCCUGUUCGAGCGUCAUUUCAACCCUUAAGCCUAGCUUAGUAUUGGGAAUCGACUUUACUGUCGUUCCUCAAAUUCAACGGCGGAUUUAUAGCAAUCUCUGAACGUAGUAAUUUUUUUUCUCGUUUUUGAAGUACUAUAAACCUCAGCCGCUAAACCCCCAAUUUCUUAUGGUUGACCUCGGAUCAGGUAGGAAUACCCGCUGAACUUAAGCAUAUCAAUAAGCGGAGGA
rnacentral:misc_RNA from 1 species